rnacentral:misc_RNA from 1 species
CUGGUACACAACUGUAGGAUUCCAUGACAAGUUUGGAAUCACACUCCUGCAAAUUACCACCAACGCCACAUACACAAGCCUCUCUCUCAACAGCGACACCAUCAAUUUCUAUUUGGUCUCAUGCUAACGGAGACGGAGAAGACAAAACACUCUCCGUGAAUUUCUAUUUCAUCUUUCAUCUUCUCGCACCACCAGCAGACUCCGCCAUCUUCUAACUUUUCGACGAAAUGCCCGAACGAGAGGACGACAAGUCAAAGGAAAAUCAGACUGUUGGAGGAGACAAGGGAGAGACGCUCAUGGACUUGGAUCCUGAUCUCGACACCUCCUGGCCUCUGGAUCAGAUCUCUUUUCUUUCCAAUCCUUUGUCUCCUCUUCUGCUUUCCUCCUCUGACCAGCCAUGCUCUCCUCUUUGGUCUUUCUCUGACGCUGACGAUGACAAGCUUCUUCCUGCUUCUUCAUCUUCUCACGCUACUCCUCCUCCUCCUCUCCGCUUCACUGAUUAUCCUAUUUUUCUCGCUUGUCAGUCACGUCUCCAUUUUUCUCACUGCUCUUAUUUCUUUCUUUUUUUUGGUGCUUUUCUGGGAUUAAUUGCAACUUCAGAUUGGUUUACUUUCUUGGGUAUUCUAAUUAAGUGUUUGAAAUUGGGGCGUUCUUGAUCUAAACUUAGCAUCUCUUAUGACAAAAUUAAUAUACUACAUAAUUUUUAAAAAGCUCCUGUUAAAGCCAGGUAUGAAGCAAUGAAACUGGAAUUAUGAAUGGUGCUUACAACUUGUUUUGGUAGACUAGACAAGCCGUUGAAUGAGAAGAAAUCGAAAGAUGAUUUUGUCUUCUCUCAUAUUGAUUGGUUUUCCUGCCCGGCCUUGCUAUUUUCUCUGGAGAUUUUAUUUCCUUUAACAACAGUCUUUCUCUAGUGUGGUUGUUUUUAUUGUCGUGUAUGUUGUUAUUUGGAGUUUGGAAGUCAUAAACAGAAUUUUGUAAAUUUAAGCAACGUGGGCUUGCUCUUCCUAUAGUUAAUCGCAUCAUUGAGUAUCUUGCAGUUUCUUAGUGCCAUUGUUUUUAAUGGAACGCCAUCCGGAAGUUUAAGCUUUUCUUUUUGACUUGAGAUUUUACCUAACGCAGGUAAACCCAAUUCAGUUACUGAAAACCAUACAGAAAUUGAUGAUAGAAGGAAAAUUCCUUCUCCACUUCUGGGAUUGAUGCCUAUUGACAACCCAGAUGGAUAUUGUGUAAUCAAAGAGAGGAUGACACAGGCACUUCGAAAUUUCAAAGAAUCAACUGAACAGCAUGUUCUAGCUCAGAUUUGGGCACCUAUGAAGAGUGGGGGUCGGUAUGUACUGACAACUUCAGGGCAACCCUUUGUGAUUGAUCCUUAUAGUAAUGGACUUCAUCAGUAUAGGAUGGUCUCUUUGAUGUAUAUGUUCUCAGUGGAUGGAAAUUGUGAAGGUGAACUUGGGCUUCCUGGCCGUGUUUUUCGGCAAAAAUUGCCGGAAUGGACACCUAAUGUCCAGUAUUACUCGAGCAAGGAGUAUCCACGGCGUGAUCAUGCUUUACAUUACAACGUUCAGGGAACUUUGGCAUUGCCAGUAUUUGAACGGUCAGGGCAGUCCUGUGUUGGUGUGCUUGAGCUCAUAAUGACUUCACAGAAGAUUAACUAUGGACCUGAGGUUGAUAAAGUCUGCAAGGCACUUGAGGUUGGGUUUCUUCUCUUUUGUAUGUUUAAUAAGUCUCAUAUUAUGAUUUAUGGCCAUGGAUUUCUUUUGAGAAACAUUAUAAUCGUAGCAGUUUGUAUUGUGAUAAUUUUAUGUAGGCCUUGGUAAAGAUUGUUAUUUUCAAAUGUUUUGAAAUUCCUCAUUCACAUAAUUUCAGUUGUUCUGCAGGCAGUAAAUUUUAAAGGUUCAAAAGUAUUGGAUCAUCCAAGUGCAUAGAUGUAUACUUGGCACUGCUUUUAAACCAGAUUUGCAAUGAAGGUCGAAAAAAUGCACUGGCUGAAAUAUUGGAGAUAUUAACAGUGGUUUGCGAAACUCACAAAUUAGCUUUGGCUCAGACUUGGGUUCCUUGCAUGCAUCGUAGUGUUCUAGCCUUUGGUGGUGGUUUAAAGAAGAGUUGCACCAGUUUUGAUGGUAGUUGCAAUGGCCAGGUCUGUAUGUCCACCACUGACGUGGCAUUCUAUAUUGUAGACCCGCACAUGUGGGGAUUUCGUGAGGCAUGCCUUGAGCAUCACUUACAGAAGGGUCAAGGUGUUACUGGGAGGGCAUUUAUGUCCCACAAUGCAUACUUCUGUCCAGACAUUACUCAAUUCUGCAAGACAGAGUACCCAUUAGUUCACUAUGCACGCAUGUUUGGAUUGACUGGCUGUUUUGCAAUCUGCUUGCACAGCAGUCAUACUGGAGAUGAUGAUUACGUUCUUGAAUUUUUUGUGCCCCCUAGCAUCUCAGACACUUAUCAACAGAAAGCUUUGUUGGGCUCCCUAUUGGCAACAAUGAAACAGCAUUUUCAGAGUCUUAAGGUUGCUUCCGGAAUGGACCUUGAAGAAGAGGAUGGAUUUGUUGAGAUCAUUCAAACUUCUAUGAGUGGGAGACUUGAUUUAAGGCUUGAAUGCAUUUGAAUACCCGAGUCUCCAAAAUCUCCCCCUAAUCCUAAUGUUAACACAUCACCAAAGGAAGGACAGAAGGCCCAGCUGGAUCUAGUAAAACAACAGUUGAUGGUGAACUUGGAUGUUGUAGAUAAUGGAGGUAACACAAGUCUUGCAGAGGGAAGCCACUUUCCUACGUCUCUUCCAGAGAAUAAAGGGAACAAAAAGCCAUCUGAAAGGAAACGUGGGAAAACUGAGAAGUCGAUUAGUCUAGAGGUUCUUCAACAAUAUUUUGUUGGUAAUCUUAAAGAUGCAGCAAAGAGCCUUGGUGUUUGCCCUACUACAAUGAAGCACAUCUGCAGGCAGCAUGGGAUCUCACGUUGGCCAUCUCGCAAAAUCAACAAGGUUAACCGAUCCCUCUCCAAGUUAAAGUGGGUGAUUGAAUCUGUCCAAGGUGCUGAAGGAACUUUAGACUUAACUCCCCUUACCACAAGUCCACUUCCUGUUGCUGUUGGUUCUACUUAUUGGCCUUCCAAUUUGAAUGGGUACAAUCGACAACACUCACCGAAUUCUAAAUCCCCUGAACCUAAUGAUGAAAAGAAUGGGUCACCAAUCUGCAAAGCGGUGGGAAGUAAUGGCAGGGUUGGGAUGAAGAUCAAUUGCUAGGAGGUAGACUAUUAAGUCAUGAGAAAGUGGUCCUGCAAAAUGGUUUUUCCCCAGAAAUUGGAUGAUGCUCAAGCAGAUCCAAAGCAGGAAAUGUCUCUAGGGAAGAUAGUGCUGGGACUCCAACCUCUUAUGUUUCAUGCCAAGAAAGCCCCACAAAUGACAAUGCACCUGCAAAGGAUGUAUCUGUUUCUCCUGCCCAUGAACACUGCAGUGAAGCAGGUACUAUUCCUAAAUUGGCAUUUCAACCAAAAGGAAAAUCAAAUCUGUCAGCUGCAUACUCAAUACCUGAUGCCCUUGUUGCAACAGAAGCUCAAGCACCAUUUGGAGAAAUGCUAAUUGAGGACGCUGGAAGUUCAAAAGAUUAGAAAUCUUUGUCCUUCAGUGGCAGACACGUUUUUAGAGGAGCGGGUUCCAGAAUCUAGUUGGACAAAUCAUCCUGGUCCAGAUUUCCCUCCCACACAAGCCAUGGCUGCCAUAGAACAUGCAAUGCCACAGGUAACAGCUAGGCCGGAAACGAAAUGUCUAAGCAUAAAGGCAACAUACAGAGAAGAUAUAAUAAGGUUCCGAAUCUUUCUUGGUUCAGGGAUUGUGGAGUUGAAAGAGGAAGUGGCCAAGAGGCUGAAAUUGGAAGUGGGUUCUUUUGAUGUAGAGUACCUGGAUGAUGAUCAUGAGUGGGUUUUGAUAGCCUGUGAUGCAGACCUGCAGGAGUGUAUUGAUAUUUCAAGAUUAUCAGGCAGCAAUCUAAUAAGAUUGUCUGUACAUGAUGUGAAUGCCAAUCUUGGAAGCUCCUGUGAGAGCAAUGGCAAGUUUUGAUUAGGUUGUAUAUAUGGAAAGAUUUAACAAUCUGUAAACUCAAGUUCAGAUGUGGUGUUUAUAAAGGUGCUUCUUGUUGUGCAUUUAAGAUUUAACAAUUUAAUUCGGAGGCUUCAUGGUCCAUACUACCUGGAAUGCUUU